rnacentral:misc_RNA from 1 species
GAGAGAGAGAGAGAGAGAGACCCAGACUCUUGACAAAAUGAAAUCCAAAAUGGGAUCAAAAUAAGAAAAUGAAUACUCAUAGAUCAUUCUGCUUGUCCUAAUGAUAUCAUGAAAGCUGCUAAGUAUUUCAAGGAUCCACUCCACUCUUGCUGAAUUUUCUUUUUCACAUCCCCACUAAUUAUUGGGAACAUAGGAAAAAACAAGACAUAAAUCUAAAGAGAAAUACCUGGCGAAGGAACCCCUCUAGAGGCCCUAGCUUUCCCAUGGCCA